AUUGUGCAAUCAUGAAAUGGGUGUUAUCUCUUAUCUUUUACCUCAUCUUAUCUUGCUGUAUUUUAUUUCUUGUCAUUGUUAUUUAUUGCUAGCAUGUUUCUUUUUUAAGUAUCUAUGAGAGUCUUG